AAAGAUCCCUUAAGAAAAGUGCUCUGAUACCAGUUUGUAGUUUUGUAAAAAAUUUUUAUGAUAUUUCACACACUCGUCUACAACUUUACAACAGUUUAGCACAUAUAUAAUCUAAAGGUUUCCUAGAAGCAAAGGCUUCUCAAAACACAACCCACGUAAUAUUACAGAUGUCUAAACAUAGUUACUUGCUUUCCACAUGCAAGUCAUACCAAAAUAGAUUACGUAAUCACUUGACCACCUUGCAACAUCUUUGACUAAGGCACUUUCUAACAAAUACGAAAGCUGGCUCUCUAAGGGAAUUGUCAUUAGCAAGUUCGCGACUGAUAACAAGAGCGAUCUUUUGACCUAGAAACUGAGACUCGGGAACUUGUUCGUCGCGAAGGAGUCGAGAGAGAUGAUGCGGCGUGAAGCCGCCGCUUGGGUUCAGGUUGAUGUUAUCCGAUGUUAAAACUUGUACCACUCCUGUUUCGUCUUGGAUGAGUUCUUGUAAGAGGAUCUCGACUGUGUUCGUGAAUAUUUUAGGUAGGUUCGCCACCAGCGUGUAGACUUUCAGUGUAUCAAAUUCUGUUUCCAUGGCCGCAAGAAAAACAAAAAGAAAGAAAGAUAAACCUUAAUUUCGAAAGUAAAGAAAACGAAGAUUGUUGAGACAGAUAGUGAAAGAGAAAUCGAUUUCCGAAUGAGUGUUCUGUAGUAUAUAAGGAUAUUUUGGUUACUUCCUUUUUUAAAGACAGAUCAUUACUAUUUUCUUUUUUCUAAAAUCCGAACGUUAACUAAUUGAUCACAUUACCGAAAAAAGGAAAAAAAAAAGAAUAACUGUACCGGAAUUCAACCCAGAAGAAUCUCUUCUUUUUUGUAUAAGUUCGGUUUAUUAUGGUUUAGCUAUUGAGAUUCUAAUUAAUAGGCAUCUCCUAGAGAAAGAAGAAAACAACUGUUGUAAAUAUCCUCUCCAGCUUGUGAUUCUACCUAUGCUUAGUGAUACAGAACCAAACCAAACCAAACCGCUUUAUCGUCCCAUAUGAUAUUUUUUUUACUGUGGAUGUGGCACUGUUACUGAUGAAAUCAUAACCAGAGUAAAUCGACACCUGAUUUUGUGGGUGGAGCAUUGAUGAAAUUAGAAACAGAGUAAAUCGACAAUGAUUUGGAAUAUGGCAUCCUGUCCUGUUUUCUCCUAUACGAUUGGGAUUGUCUCCCACUCGUUCACGUUUUAUAUUUUGUCUAGUUAGGCAGCCCUUUUGCCUUCUCAUAUAGAGUUCAUACAUCUCUAAACAAAUACCUCAAAUCCUGGAAGUGUUAAAACGCCUUAGGGAUAGUGUCCUCUUUUUGCUUCUUUCUUGAAUGGUAAGGGCUGAUCAAUUCACUUCCGAGUAGGAUUGUAACAUCUCGGCUGAUAGUAAAAGACUUAAUAAAAUUGAUUAAGUUGUACAUCUAGAGAGUUAGACGUACUUUAGUCAUGUGUAGGUUCACCUAAUAAGAAUGUUGCGUUUGAUGAGAGGGAGUGAAUUGUAACAUCUCGAUUUAUGGUAUAUAGUGAAAGACUUAAUAUAUUUAAUUUGGUUAUAUAUAUCACCAAAAUACAGUUACCUUUUCGAUUACCCAAACAGUUUUUUUUUUAUAAAACUAAGCAUGCAUGGAAAUUGGUUAUGCGGUGAUUGCACCAAAAAAAAAGUAAACAAAAUUUUCGAAUCUUUACAAAAUUAACGUACCGGUCGAACAUGACGAGUGAACGGGUUCAUCAUAUUGGCCCAUUAGCCACGCACGGCUGGAACGUUUAAAGGGUGUUCUCUUCUCCGUUAAUAUUCUAAGCAGAAAUACCUAUUCAAACAAUCGUUUUUGAAGUCAAGAUGAAGAAACGAAAAACAGUUCAUGCCAUACGAAAAAUAGGAUAAAGGUGGAAGAGGAGAGAACGUGAAGAUGAGAUCCAGUCCAUCUGACACUCUUUUGAUCUCAACUUGAGUUUUCUAUGUGUAAUAUAGUGUGUUAUUUGUAUAUUACUUUUAAGAUUGGUCCAACGAUGUCGGAAUUGCUAAGGAUUAAUCAUCACAGUCCUUUAAAAAAAAAAAAAAUCUAAUUGUGAUCUGAUUAUAUAGUGAAUUACACCUUCAGUAAGUCAGUCAAUAAUUCAUGAUACUUGUAAACAAUUUCAUCUUAUAAGAACUAAUUAACAUAAGGAUGAGUGUCAACAAUUCGCAACAUAAUCGAAACCCCUGAAGAUGUAACGUUUUCGAGUUUCUGUUUCUUGAUCGUAUUCCUAGGUCGUACGAAUCUCCGGCACAACGGACACGAGUUUUUCCGACCAAGCCACUCGAAAAGACAGUUUUGAUGAAACAUAUGCAAACAGUUAGGCAUCUCAAUGAUGCUUUGUUGACUCUUGGACAAAUCCUCGAUGCAAAUUGAACACAUAGCUUCUAUAUUUCUGUUCAAAUCCACUCUAUGUUCUUCCACCAACCUCUGUAAAACUUCAAACGAAGCAGGAACAUCAGACGGCACAACCAAACGUCUCUCUUUGAUGAAUUCAACUUCGACGUUCACGAAGACAGGCUCUCGGAGAGUUUUAUCAUUGCUAAGUGAACGAUUGAUUUCAUUAGCGAUCUUUUCACCUAUGUGUUGAGAUUCAUCAACUUGUUGGCCACGAAGGAGUUCAGAGAUAUGACUUGGCGUGAAGCAGUGUGGCUCCAAGCGAAUGUAACGUGAUCUUAUAUGUAUCACGUCUUCGGUAAAAUCUUCAAUCAGAUUGUGUACACGGAUAGAGAGAAUGUUCAUAGACUCCAUGUUUAGCGCUAGAUUCAUCACCUUCGUUUCAACUUCAAUUAUAUUAGUUUCUUCUAUAUCCAUGGCACUAGUAGAAGAAGAUUCAAACGACAAUAAACCCUAAAUAAUUCCGUAUUAGAAAAGAUGAUGAUUUUUUUUGGGUCUUAAGAGGGAGAGAAAGACUUUGAGAUUGAAAUCCUUGGGGAACGAGUGAGAGCAUAAUAUAUAUAUAUAGAGAGAGCGAUGUUGCAAAACUAGGUCUUUAUUUCCUUAUUUUUGCAAGUUUUUUUUUAAUUUCCUUAUUUUUUGUAAAACUUGAUCAUUUAUUGAUCGUUAUUUCCUUAUUUCGUUUCUUUUUGUUAAAAGCCAAGUUGUUUCCUUUUUCAUUUUAAAUAACUGACCGUUAAAUAAUUUGUUUUUGUACCUUUGGAUUAUAUACAAUUCCACGUCUGGUCCAUUUUUAACGCAAACCCAUUACGGACCCAAUUCAUUUAGCCCAACCAAACCCAUCAGUAAUGCGUGGAUUUUAAUAUUAUUUGGUCCAAUUUUGAAAAUCUGAACACAAUAUAUUUUAAGUCACUUUUUAUCUUCUCUGAUAAAACAUUUGGGGAUAUAUGCAAACCCUAAUUGCAAGUCACCAUUGUUCUACCAUAAAUUCAGACCAAAAUUUUAACCAAGUGACAGUGUACUCGAGUUCUGGUAUCCUUCUCUUCAUGUUAUAUUUUAAAUGUUGUAUUGUAGUAUAUAAUAUAGAUAAAAAUAUUUUCAAAAAUAUUAUAUUCCUUUUAAAAUUACUCCAUGAAUACUUCCUGAUUUUUAAGUAAUUUACUAGGCCCGGGUCGGCCGCGUGUAUAGCACCUAGCAAAAUUUUGAACAGAGAUAUAUAUAUAUAUAUAUAUAAGUGUUACACGAGACCAAUGGUUCAAUUCAAUUAUAUUCACACCAUUAAAAUUUUGACUCUAUAGCUGAUAAUAUUCUAUCAAUCCAUUUGAUCACGGUCAUGCGAGUUGACUUUGCCUCUGCUCAAGACUGUACGGCCGAUCUUCUCUUUGGCAGGGUAACAAUAUUGACUGAAUUUGGGUCCAACAGUAACUACUCGAUUGGUAGUUGGGCAGAUGAUUGAUGCCAACAAAUCGAUAUAGUUGAUAUUGCACUACGUUCUGAUGAGUAUGAUGAAGAUUACAGAGAGGAACAUGCUAUUGAGUACCAAAGUCUUGCUAUGUAAGAAAGAGUUAUCCAUCACUUCUCCAGAAUAGAGGAAGCAAAAUCGAUCGCCGGCAAUUGCUCACCAUCGAUCGACCCUCAUUCCACACCGACAUCCGAGGUAAAACAAGAAGUUGAUACAUAUUAUGGGUAUCUAACACCUGAUGAAUUUGCUAUUUUCAUGGACCCAGGAGGCCAAGACGAGCUAUAGAUGGACGUGUUCUACAAUUAUCCAGAGAAGAUAUUGCAGACAUCUGUGAGAUGGCCAAUGGACCAGACAACCUCUUCCUUCAACAACGUAGAGAUUCAGAGUACCAGCGUAGGGUUAUAGACGAGCUGUUUGGUACGGCUUGUGGUUUAGAAACGCGUUACGAGCAUCAGAAACGAACACGAGGUCAAAAAUCGAUCGACGGUCCAGUCCCACCAUCGAUCGACGAUUGCUUAGAGUUCGGACGGAGAGCCUAUAAUCAGAACAGACAGAGGAGAUUUCAUUG